UACAGAGGGUGCGAGCGUUGUCCGGAAUCACUGGGCGUAAAGGGCGCGUAGGCGGCUCGGUAAGGUUGCGGUGAAAGCCCGGGGCUCAACCCCGGGUCGGCCGUGGCAACUGCUGGGCUCGAGCACUGUAGAGGCAGGUGGAAUUCCUGGUGUAGCGGUGGAAUGCGUAGAGAUCCGGAAGAACACCGGUGGCGAAGGCGGCCUGCUGGGCAGUGACUGUAAUGGUCAAUAGCUGACGCUGAGGCGCGACAGCGUGGGGAGCAAACAGG
rnacentral:rRNA from 1 species